rnacentral:rRNA from 1 species
UGGGGAAUAUUGCACAAUGGGCGCAAGCCUGAUGCAGCCAUGCCGCGUGUAUGAAGAAGGCCUUCGGGUUGUAAAGCACUUUCAGCGGGGAGGAAGGCGUUAAGGUUAAUAACCUUGGCGAUUGACGUUACCCGCAGAAGAAGCACCGGCUAACUCCGUGCCAGCAGCCGCGGUAAUACGGAGGGUGCAAGCGUUAAUCGGAAUUACUGGGCGUAAAGCGCACGCAGGCGGUUUGUUAAGUCAGAUGUGAAAUCCCCGGGCUCAACCUGGGAACUGCAUCUGAUACUGGCAAGCUUGAGUCUCGUAGAGGGGGGUAGAAUUCCAGGUGUAGCGGUGAAAUGCGUAGAAAUCUGGAGGAAUACCGGUGGCGAAGGCGGCCCCCUGGACGAAGACUGACGCUCAGGUGCGAAAGCGUGGGGAGCAAACAGG